rnacentral:rRNA from 1 species
AAUAGAUACCCGGGUAGUCCACGCCGUAAACGAUGGGUACUAGGUGUAGGGGGUAUCGACUCCCCUGUGCCGCCGUUAACACAAUAAGUACCCCGCCUGGGGAGUACGGUCGCAAGAUUAAAACUCAAAGGAAUUGACGGGGGGCCCGCACAAGCAGCGGAGCAUGUGGUUUAAUUCGAAGCAACGCGAAGAACCUUACCUAGACUUGACAUCUCCUGCAUUACUCUUAAUCGAGGAAGUUCUCCCUUCGGGGAGGACAGGAAGACAGGUGGUGCAUGGUUGUCGUCAGCUCGUGUCGUGAGAUGUUGGGUUAAGUCCCGCAACGAGCGCAACCCUUAUUGUUAGUUGCUACCAUUUAGUUGAGCACUCUAGCAAGACUGCCGUGGUUAACGCGGAGGAAGGUGGGGAUGACGUCAAAUCAUCAUGCCCCUUACGUCUAGGGCUACACACGUGCUACAAUGGCGAGUACAAAGAGACGCAAAGCCGCGAGGUGGAGCAAAACUUAUAAAACUCGUCUCAGUUCGGAUUGCAGGCUGAAACUCGCCUGCAGU